rnacentral:rRNA from 1 species
GUAGGGAAUAUUGGGCAAUGGAUGCAAGUCUGACCCAGCCAUCCCGCGUGCCGGAAGAAGGCCCUCAGGGUUGUAAACGGCUUUUGACGGUGAAGAAUCGACAGGAUGCGUCCUGUUUUGACGGUAGCCGUUGAAUAAGCACCGGCUAACUCCGUGCCAGCAGCCGUGGUAAUACGGAGGGUGCGAGCGUUGUCCGGAUUUAUUGGGUUUAAAGGGUGCGUAGGCUGGAAGGUCAGUCAGCGGUGAAAAGCUAUCGCUUAACGAUAGUCUUGCCGCAGAUACUUCCUUUCUUGGAUGAGGAGGAGGCCACUGGAACGGAUGGUGUAGCGGUGAAAUGCAUAGAUAUCAUCCAGAACACCGAUUGCGAAGGCAGGUGGCUGUACCUUAAUCGACGCUGAUGCACGAAAGCAUGGGGAGCAAACAGGAUUAGAAACCCGUGUAGUCC